AUGAAGUCACAGACCCAGGUCGUCAUGCGCCUGUUCCUCUGGGUGUCUGGUGCCAGUGCAGAUAUCAUGCUGACCCAGUCUCCAUCCUCCAUGACUGUGUCAGCAGGAGAGAAGGUCACCAUCAGCUGCAAGUCCAGUCAGAGUCUUUUAUCUGGUAUGGCUAACUACUUGGCUUGGUACCAGCAGAAACCAGGGCAGGCUCCGAAACUGCUGAUCUACUAUGCAUCCACUCGGUACUCUGGGGUCUCUGAUCGCUUCACAGGCAGUGGAUCUGGGACAGAUUUCAUUCUCACCAUUAGCAGUGUCCAGAAUGAAGACCUGGCAGAUUAUUACUGUCAAAAAAAUAAUGACAUCUUGAAUUUUGCAGGCAAAUGGAUGGAG